rnacentral:rRNA from 1 species
GAUGAACGCUAGCGGCAGGCUUAAUACAUGCAAGUCGAGGGGCAGCAGUUUUGUAGCAAUACAGAAGCUGGCGACCGGCAAACGGGUGCGGCACACGUACGCAACCUACCUUUAACUGGAAGAUAGACCACCGAAAGGUGGAUUAAUACUCCAUAACAAAUUGAAGAUGCAUCUCUUUGAUAUUAACGCUCCGGCGGUUAAACAUGGGCGUUCGUCUGAUUAGGUAGUUGGCGGGGUAACCGCCCACCAAGCCUUCGAUCAGUAGAUGCUGUGAGGGCAUGAUCAGCCACACGGGCACUGAGACACGGGCCCGACUCCUACGGGAGGCAGCAGUAAGGAAUAUUGGUCAAUGGACGCAAGUCUGAACCAGCCAUGCCGCGUGGAGGAUGAAGGCCCUCUGGGUUGUAAACUUCUUUUCUUUGGGACGAAACCCCUGUUUCUACGGGGACUGACGGUACCAGAGGAAUAAGCACCGGCUAACUCCGUGCCAGCCGCCGCGGUAA